GGCUCCAGGAGGCCCCAGCUCCUCAUGCCCUGCAGCCCUGCCUGCCAGGCUUCUGUUGAGGCCCGGGCUCUGUCCUGCGGAGCCUGUUCUGGGGACUCAGCCCAGGAGGUAUUUACUGUGAAGGGGGCCAGGCUCCAGCCACUUGGUUAGUUCCAGGUCACUGUGUUUGGGGACGAUUCUCCUGCAGAUGGGGCCUUUGCUUUAAAAGCACAGUCGCCUGUGGUGGAAGGCCGGAAGGUGGGUCUCGCCUGGGAGGGUGUGUCCUCCCCUUGCCAGGGCCCUGGUGCUGGGAGCACUGUCCCCUGCUGAGGUCCCAACUCGCCCUGGAGGACCUGAGCCCAGGCCGCCUUGCUCACCUUUCAAACACUCCUUGGCGCCUCAGGGGCUGCUGGGGCCCAGCCUGAUGGUGGCGUGGCAUGAGGCAGUGUGGUGUGGGGCAGUGGUGGGGCAGCGUGGUGUCGGGCAGUGUGGUGUGGGGCUACGGGCGGUGUGGUAUCAGGCGACGUGGUAUCAAGCAGCGUGGUGUCGGGCAGCGUGGUGCAGGGCUGCCGUCCUGCCUGUGGGGCCGCAGUUGCAGCUUCGCUUCCUUCCAGGCCCUGAAGUACUCUUUCCAGACCCACGACCGCCUCUGCUUCGUCAUGGAGUACGCCAACGGGGGCGAGGUAGGGGCUGGGGCUGCGGGGGAUGGACUUUGUGGCCUGUGGGCCGCCCAUGGUGGGGCUGGUCCUUCCCGGAGCCUUGGCUACUCUCCAUGGCGCCAGACGGUGCUCCCUGCUGGGUGGGUGGUGUGAUGCCUGCCCAGGCAGCUGCCUGCUGUGGGGUGACUUGUUCCUGCUGAGUUAGGGCUUCUGAGACUUUCCAGGCCCCCGUGCCCUCUGGGGGCUGGUCCCUUCCCUGUGCCAAUGCCCUGAGACCCUGUCUGAGAAGCCCCAGCCCUGCAGGCCGUGGGGGCGGAGGCCCCAGCCACGGCUGUGCCUCAGGUCGCGCCUCCCGCAGCUGUUCUUCCACCUGUCCCGGGAGCGUGUGUUCUCUGAGGACCGGGCCCGCUUCUAUGGCGCUGAGAUCGUGUCAGCCCUGGACUACCUGCACUCGGAGAAGAACGUGGUGUACCGGGACCUCAAGGUGCGCUGGUGGGCAGGCGGCGGGGCAGGGCCCCGGGGGCCUGGUGGCACUGACCUGAGGCCACCUUUCCCCUAGCUGGAGAACCUCAUGCUGGACAAGGACGGGCACAUUAAGAUCACAGACUUCGGGCUGUGCAAGGAGGGGAUCAAGGAUGGUGCUACCAUGAAGACCUUCUGCGGCACACCCGAGUACCUGGCCCCUGAGGUGCUGGAGGACAAUGACUACGGCCGUGCGGUGGACUGGUGGGGGCUGGGCGUGGUCAUGUACGAGAUGAUGUGCGGCCGCCUGCCCUUCUACAACCAGGACCAUGAGAAGCUUUUUGAGCUCAUCCUCAUGGAGGAGAUCCGCUUCCCGCGCACGCUUGGUCCCGAGGCCAAGUCCUUGCUCUCGGGGCUGCUCAAGAAGGACCCCAAGCAGAGGCUUGGCGGGGGUUCCGAGGACGCCAAGGAGAUCAUGCAGCAUCGCUUCUUUGCCGGCAUCGUGUGGCAGCAUGUGUACGAGAAGAAGCUCAGCCCGCCCUUCAAGCCCCAGGUCACAUCGGAGACCGACACCAGGUAUUUUGACGAGGAGUUCACGGCCCAGAUGAUCACCAUCACACCACCUGACCAAGACGACAGCAUGGAGUGUGUGGACAGCGAGCGCAGGCCCCACUUCCCCCAGUUCUCCUACUCGGCCAGCGGCACGGCCUGAGGCGGCGGUGGACUGCGCUGGACGGUAGCUUGGAGGGAUGGAGAGGCGACCUCGUGCCAUGAUCUGUAUUUAAUGGUUUUUAUUUCUCGGGUGCAUUUGAGAGAAGCCACGCCGUCCUCCUGAGCCCAGGUGGAAAGACGUUUUUGUGCUGUGGGCAGCACCCUCCCCCGCAGCGGGGUAGGGAAGAAAAUUGUCCUGCGGGUUUUAAUUUAUUUCAUCCAGUUUGUUCUCCGGACGUGGCCUCAGCCCUCAGAACAAUCCGAUUCACAUAGGGAAAUGUUAAGGACUUCUGCAGCUAUGCGCAAUGUGGCGUUGGGGGGCCGGGCAGGUCCUGCCCACGUGUCCCCUCACUCUGUCAGCCAGCCGCCCUGGGCUGUCUGUCACCAGCUAUCUGUCAUCUCUCUGGGGCCCUGGGCCUCAGUUCAGCCUGGUGGCACCAGAUGCAACCUCACUAUGGCAUGCUGGCCGGCACCCUCUCCUGGGGGUGGCAGGCACACGGCAGCCCCCAGCACUAAGGCCGUGUCUCUGAGGACGUCAUUGGAGGCUGGGCCCCUGGGAUGGGACCAGGGAUGGGGGAUGGGCCAGGGUUUACCCAGUGGGACAGAGGAGCAAGGUUUAAAUUUGUUAUUGUGUAUCAUGUUGGUCAAAUGCAUUUUGGGGGUUUUUAAUCUUUGUGACAGGAAAGCCCUCCCCCUUCCCCUUCUGUGUCACAGUUCUUGGUGACUGUCCCACCGGGAGCCUUCCCCUCAGAUGAUCUCUCCACGGUAGCACUUGACCUUUUUGCCGCUUAACCUUUCCGCUGUCGCCCCGGGCCCUCCCUGACUCCCUGUGGGGGUGGCCAUCCCUGGGCCCCUCCACGCCCUCCUGGCCAGACGCUGCCGCUGCUGCUGCACCACGGCGUUUUUUUACAACAUUCAACUUUAGUAUUUUUACUAUUAUAAUAUGAAAAUUUCCCUCCAAAUUCUUCAAUAAAAGUUGCUUUUC
rnacentral:sRNA from 1 species